UUUGUUCAACGGCCGCGGUAUCCUAACCGUGCGAAGGUAGCGUAAUCACUUGUCUUUUAAAUGGGGACUUGUAUGAAUGGCAUCACGAGGGUUAUACUGUCUCCUUUUUCUAAUCAGUGAAACUAACCUUCCCGUGAAGAAGCGGGAAUAAACAUAUAAGACGAGAAGACCCUAUGGAGCUUUAAACUCAAUAACAAAUACUAGCCUUGCCUCAACCUUCAGAGUAUUAACCUUAAUUUUAGUAUAAUGAUUAUUAGUUUUAGGUUGGGGUGACCGCGGAGUAAAAAUUAACCUCCACAUUGAACGGGACCUGUCUCUGAGCCAAGAACUACAACUCGAAGCACCAACAAAUUGACAUUAAUUGACCCAAUAUUUUGAUCAACGAACCAAGUUACCCUAGGGAUAACAGCGCAAUCCACUUCAAGAGCUCCUAUCGACAAGUGGGUUUACGACCUCGAUGUUGGAUCAGGGUAUCCCAGUGGUGCAGCCGCUACUAAAGGUUCGUUUGUUCAACGAUUAAAACCCU
rnacentral:rRNA from 1 species